rnacentral:rRNA from 1 species
AUUGAACGCUGGCGGCAUGCUUUACACAUGCAAGUCGAACGGUAACAGGCCGCAAGGUGCUGACGAGUGGCGAACGGGGGAGUAAUGCAUCGGAACGUGCCCAGUCGUGGGGGAUAACUACUCGAAAGAGUAGCUAAUACCGCAUACGAUCUAUGGAUGAAAGCGGGGGACCGUAAGGCCUCGCGCGAUUGGAUCGUCCGAUGUCAGAUUAGGUAGUUGGUGGGGUAAAGGCGCACCAAGCCAACGAUCUGUAGCUGGUCUGAGGGGACGACCCGCCACACUGGGACUGAGACACGGCCCAGACUCCUACGGGAGGAAGCAGUGGGGAAUUUUGGACAAUGGGCGCAAGCCUGAUCCAGCAAUGCCGCGUGCAGGAAGAAGGCCUUCGGGUUGUAAACUGCUUUUGCCCGGAACGAAACGGCUCUGGUUAAUACCCGGGGCUAAUGACGGUACCGUAAGAAUAAGCACCGGCUAACUACGUG